AGAGUUUGAUCAUGGCUCAGGACAAACGCUGGCGGCGUGCAUAAAACAUGCAAGUCGAACGGACUUCAGUCCGCAAGGACUGAAGUGAGUGGCGAACGGCUGAGUAACACGUAGGUGACCUGCCCCGAAGUUUGGGAUAACACCUCGAAAGAGGUGCUAAUACCGGAUGUGACCACCGAUUCAUUUCGGUGCUUAAAGUCGCAAGACGCUUUGGGAGGGGCCUGCGGCGGAUUAGCUAGUUGGUGUGGUAACGGCACACCAAGGCUUCGAUCCGUAGCUGGUCUGAGAGGAUGGCCAGCCAGACUGGGACUGAGACACGGCCCAGACUCCUACGGGAGGCAGCAGUUAGGAAUUUUGCGCAAUGGAGGAAACUCUGACGCAGCCACGCCGCGUGAGGGAUGAAGGCCUUCGGGUCGUAAACCUCUUUUCUCAGGGAAGACACCCGACGGUACCUGAGGAAUAAGCAACGGCUAACUACGUGCCAGCAGCGGCGGUAAUUC
rnacentral:rRNA from 1 species